AGCUGAUUUCCUCUACAAGUUAGGAUUGUCGGCAUCCUCCAACAGAAUGGUUGGGCUCAUGUCUCUUGCACCGGUUGCAGCAAGAAGCUGGACAAAUAUGGCACCUCAUGUGUUUCACUCAUGUCCAUGUUCAAAAGUUCCGUGUAGAGCUCGCCGUUGAAGAUGGCAAAGACAAUGCAAACGUUUGUGGUCUUUGAUACCGAGAUGUCUAAACUCACCAAAACGGAAGCAGCAACACUAGCUCUUGAGGAGAUUAACAGCGUUGGAGGUCCAGAGCUACCUUGAUGCCUUGAAGAACUAGCUGGGAAUCAAUAUGUUUUCCACAUACGUGUCACUCCCUUCAACUUCACCUCCAACCACCGUACCUUCACUGUGUCUUGCUUGACCCUCUGACCGAGAGAACCGAGGCUGAAAGGGCUCCAGGGGGAGAUGUCCACACAUGACAAGCACCGUCAUCUGCUACCGACACUGGUGGUCUUUCCGGCAAGGCGAAGGAAGUUGAUGACACGAAUCUACCUUCUGAGAAAAAGAAGAAUCGGAAGUUGACCCCGUGAGUGAUUGGUGCAACUCCACAAAACCGUCAACCCACUUAGCUUUCCUGCAUUUUCAAUUUACUAAAUUGCUAUGUAUUUCGGAUUUCUGAGUUUUCGUUUUCUUUUCAAUUAUCUGCAAACUAUCAUUCACUGGUUUAACAUGUACUUUUUAAUUAAAUUAUGGGGAACAUUGGCGAGUAUUAUCUUA